GGGCCUAUAAUCUAGCCUGGAUAGGGUGCCCGCCUUCGGAGCGGGAUGUCGCAGGUUCGAAUCCUGCUAGGCCCA
rnacentral:tRNA from 1 species